UUAAGGCGGCCAUCGCGGCGGGGUUCCUCCCGUACCCAUCCCGAACACGGAAGAUAAGCCUGCCUGCGUAUUGGUGAGUACUGGAGUGGGAGACCCUCUGGGAGAGCCGAUUCGCCGCCCCUACU
rnacentral:rRNA from 11 species